rnacentral:rRNA from 1 species
AUUGAACGCUGGCGGCAGGCCUAACACAUGCAAGUCGAGCGGAUGAAGGGAGCUUGCUCCUGGAUUCAGCGGCGGACGGGUGAGUAAGCCCAGGAAACCGCCCGGUUGUUGGGGGUUACGUUCGGGAACCGGCGCCUAUUCCGCAAAAGUCCCGGGGGAAGAAGGGGGGGAAUCUUCGACCCUACCGCUAUCGAUUAGGCCUAGGUCGGAUUAGCUAGUUGGUGGGGUAAAGGCCUACCAAGGCGACGAUCCGUAACUGGUCUGAGAGGAUGAUCAGUCACACUGGAACUGAGACACGGUCCAGACUCCUACGGGAGGCAGCAGUGGGGAAUAUUGGACAAUGGGCGAAAGCCUGAUCCAGCCAUGCCGCGUGUGUGAAGAAGGUCUUCGGAUUGUAAAGCACUUUAAGUUGGGAGGAAGGGCAGUAAGUUAAUACCUUGCUGUUUUGACGUUACCAACAGAAUAAGCACCGGCUAACUUCGUG